rnacentral:rRNA from 1 species
UACGGGUGGUGCAAGUGUUAUUCCUCUUGACUAGGUGUAAAGGGUGCGUAGAUAAAAGUAGGGCUUUAACUAAACAAGAAAUUAGUUUUUUUACCUUCUUUUAGAGUUUGUUAGACGAUAAUGGAACUUCCUGCAUUAGGGUUAAAAAUACGUUUAAAACUGGAAGGAACACCAAGGGCGAAGGCAAUUAUCGAUUUCAAACUGACAUUGAGGCACGAAAAGGAUGGGGAUCAAAUGGG